rnacentral:rRNA from 1 species
UAGGGAAUCUUCGGCAAUGGGGGGAACCCUGACCGAGCAACGCCGCGUGAGUGAAGAAGGUUUUCGGAUCGUAAAGCUCUGUUGUUAAGGAAGAACGAGUGUGAGAAUGGAAAGUUCAUGCUGUGACGGUACUUAACCAGAAAGGGACGGCUAACUACGUGCCAGCAGCCGCGGUAAUACGUAGGUCCCGAGCGUUGUCCGGAUUUAUUGGGCGUAAAGCGAGCGCAGGCGGUUAGAAAAGUCUGAAGUGAAAGGCAGUGGCUCAACCAUUGUAGGCUUUGGAAACUGUUUAACUUGAGUGCGGAAGGGGAGGGUGGAAUUCCAUGUGUAGCGGUGAAAUGCGUAGAUAUAUGGAGGAACACCGGUGGCGAAAGCGGCUCUCUGGUCUGUAACUGACGCUGAGGCUCGAAAGCGUGGGGAGCGAACAGG